UAAAGUAGUGGAAGAAGAGAGGGUAAAGCUUAGUAAAGGAAAGGUCUUUCCCCUUCAUAAUAAGCUUGAGGUGGCUCGCGUUUGGCUGUGCAACUCUGAUUUCCCAGGAAUGGCACGAGCUUUUAGAGAUUUUUCCUUAAGGACUAUGAACUCAUUGCUGUUCCAGAUUUCUCAUAUCACCACCUUACUGAAAAGGAUGAAUUUCUCGUGUUAGUAACAGAUGAGAGGGAAACCUUCUACAUGAAACUUGGGCCCCUAAAACAGCAAACCAGUAAAGAACUUGAGCAACUUGAAGUCAAGCUCACUGGAUUUUCAGUAUGUAGUAUUCUAUUUACUUGCUAGCAUAACUGUAUAUGUAAAAGCUGUUAUUUAAUUUGGUCCUUUUACUUUUAACCUUUCCAACUAAGUAAUUUUACAGUACAAUUCUGAAUUUGUUUUGCCCUUUCUCUGGAUAUUGUUGAAGAAUCAUUAUAUUUUCUGUCUCCAUUCCUCAAUAUGUGUUUCGAGUAUGUUUUUCUUACCAGGGAUCUAAAGUUCCCACAACAUUGUUAUGUUUAUGAACUGCCUACCUAAGUGUAAAUCUAUAUGAUAGGAAACUGAAGAUGAUUAUUUUCUUUCA